UACGUAGGGACCAAGCGUUGUUCGGAUUUACUGGGCGUAAAGGGCGCGUAGGCGGCUUGACAAGUCACUUGUGAAAUCUCCGGGCUUAACUCGGAAUGGCCAAGUGAAACUGUCAUGCUAGAGUGCAGAAGGGGCAAUCGGAAUUCUUGGUGUAGCGGUGAAAUGCGUAGAUAUCAAGAGGAACACCUGAGGUGAAGACGGGUUGCUGGGCUGACACUGACGCUGAGGCGCGAAAGCCAGGGGAGCAAACGGG
rnacentral:rRNA from 1 species